AGCAGCCGCGGUAAUUCCAGCUCCAAUAGCGUAUAUUAAAGUUGUUGCAGUUAAAAAGCUCGUAGUUGAACCCUUGGGCCUGGCUGGCGGGUCCGCCUCACCGCGUGUACCUUGUCCGGCCGGGCCUUUCCUUCUGGAGAACCUCAUGCCCUUCACUGGGUGUGUUGGGGAACCAGGACUUUUACUUUGAAAAAAUUAGAGUGUUCAAAGCAGGCCUUUGCUCGAAUACGUUAGCAUGGAAUAAUAGAAUAGGACGUGCGGUCCUAUUUUGUUGGUUUCUAGGACCGCCGUAAUGAUUAAUAGGGACAGUCGGGGGCAUCAGUAUUCAAUUGUCAGAGGUGAAAUUCUUGGAUUUAUUGAAGACUAACUACUGCGAAAGCAUUUGCCAAGGAUGUUUUCAUUAAUCAGUGAACGAAAGUUAGGGGAUCGAAGACGAUCAGAUACCGUCGUAGUCUUAACCGUAAACUAUGCCGACUAGGGAUCGGGCGAUGUUUCUAUCUUGACUCGCUCGGCACCUUACGAGAAAUCAAAGUUUUUGGGUUCUGGGGGGAGUAUGGUCGCAAGGCUGAAACNNNNNNNNNNNNNNCGGAAGGGCACCACCAGGCGUGGAGCCCUGCGGCUUAAUUUGACUCAACACGGGGAAACUCACCAGGUCCAGAUGAAAUAAGGAUUGACAGAUUGAGAGCUCUUUCUUGAUUUUUCAGGUGGUGGUGCAUGGCCGUUCUUAGUUGGUGGAGUGAUUUGUCUGCUUAAUUGCGAUAACGAACGAGACCUUAACCUGCUAAAUAGCCAGGCUAGCUUUGGCUGGUCGCCGGCUUCUUAGAGGGACUAUCGGCUCAAGCCGAUGGAAGUUUGAGGCAAUAACAGGUCUGUGAUGCCCUUAGAUGUUCUGGGCCGCACGCGCGCUACACUGACAGAGCCAACGAGUUCUUCACCUUGGCCGGAAGGUCUGGGUAAUCUUGUUAAACUCUGUCGUGCUGGGGAUAGAGCAUUGCAAUUAUUGCUCUUCAACGAGGAAUGCCUAGUAAGCGCGUGUCAUCAGCACGCGUUGAUUACGUCCCUGCCCUUUGUACACACCGCCCGUCGCUACUACCGAUUGAAUGGCUCAGUGAGGCCUUCGGACUGGCUUAGGGAGGUUGGCAACGACCACCCCGAGCCGGAAAGUUCGUCAAACUCGGUCAUUU
rnacentral:rRNA from 1 species